rnacentral:pre_miRNA from 1 species
AGUCUUCAAUUCCUCCCAGCCCGUGUUAUGGAAUUACUGAGUUGAGGCGAGUUGAAGACUAA